rnacentral:misc_RNA from 1 species
CGUCGUCUUCGUUUCUCUUCCAUGCCUUUUUCAUAGGUAAACUCAAUUGAAGUUUGUUAUGCUUUUAAAACAUUAGCUAUUUUAUUAUUAACAUAAAUAGGUUUUUAUGCAUUUAUCUACCGGUAUCUGCCUGGAAUGGGUUUGACGGUUUGAAAGUGUUUUAAUGGGAAUAUGUUAAAAUAAAAAGCUCUGUUAAAAUAUGAUUCUAAUAAAGUUAAAAUGGAGUUCUAAUAAAACGAGGGUUCUAAUAGGGUUGGAAAAUACUAAAACCAACACUAGACCGUUUUAAAGACAAUAAAAUUAUUAGAUCAUAUGUUUAAUGGUUUUAGGGCCUGUAGCUCAGGUGGUUAGAGCGCACGCCUGAUAAGCGUGAGGUCGGUAGUUCAAGUCUACCCAGGCCCACCAUAAUCAGAAGCGUGAAGUUUUAAAGAAAUCUAGGUUUUUUAAAGAAGAAUACACUUUAAGAAAUAAGUUAGUUCUUCGGCUCUAUGAUGAAUUAAGAUAGAGAUAAAUUAGAAUAGAGAUAAAUUAAAAUAGGCUUUUAAAACAUGAAUAUUUUAGAUCUUUUACUAUUUUCCUUUGCGAAAUAAAACAUCGAUCAUCUUGUUUUCAAUUGUUUGAUACGCAUCUUAUUUAUUAUAACCGAGAUGUUAUAAGCGUAUAAAGGGGCCGUAGCUCAAUUGGGAGAGCGCCUGCUUUGCAAGCAGGAGGUCGUCGGUUCGAUCCCGUCCGGCUCCACCAAUGCUAUCUCUCAAAUAGAAAAUUUAGCUUUAAAAGAAUGGGUCAAAAUAUAUGAUGAUCAUGCGAAUUUUGCUUGUAUAACAGCAUAAAUUAUAUUAAACUAAGCACUUGCACUAACAGUAAAUAGUGUUGUUUGGUUUUGACCUUAUCUAUGAAAACAAUAGAUAGCGAACAUUAAAACAGGCUAUAAAAGAUCUUUAUGAUAAAUGCUUUUUUAAAAAGCAAACCAUGGCUCGAAUAUUAGAAUUAUGGGAAUUAGCUUGUAAUAGGUUUAUGAAAUACUGUUUUGUUAUUUUUUGAUAAGGCUGGAGAAAAAGGUUUGCCUUUUAUAAGGUAAAAUGACAUCGUGAAUAAUAUCCUUUUGUCCGAUUUUAGGACAAAUUUCAGGUUUUAUAGUCUGACAAAGCUAUACAAGGUGUGAGAAUAUAUUUUAUAUAUGAUCUUCACUGCGUAUAGGUAUUGUUGAGAUCAAGCGUUUUAAGGGCGUCUGGUGGAUGCCUUGGCGCGUGCAGGCGAUGAAGGACGUAGCAUGCUGCGAUAAGCCACGGGGAACUGCAAGCAAGUUUUGAUGCCGUGGAUGUCCGAAUGGGGAAACCCGG